UUUUUUUUUUUUUUUUUUUGGUAAAUCAAUUGAGCAAAAAGCCAGGUAUUUACUUAAGAAUAUUAACUUCAUCAUGGACUCAUUCUUAUUAAUGACCAAGUCUUAUGUUCAAAUCGAAGUGUUUCCAAAACUCUCCACUUGGUUUAAUAAUUUCAUCUAAAGUUUACACGAACCACAGGACAAAUAAAAGUAUUUGGGAUACUUUUAUUUCUCAAAAGUAAAAGCAUAUAUUCUAAGAAAUGGUGUGAUCCCAAAUACUUUUAUUUCAAGCAGAAUGGGUGGCUAGUAAUUAUGAGACUCCUAAGACAUCACACGUCCAUCCUGUGGUUCAUGUAAACUUUAAAUAGGCAUGUUAGAAACAUAUUUGUGAUUGUGUGAAUUAUUGAGAAUAGUUCAUAUAAGCAGUAUUGCUGCUCAUGGUUCCUGUACAUCAGAUUAUCCUUAGUUGUACAGAGUAGAAAAUACCAAUUGCAGGAACUCAUUUAUGCUACAGAUAGUGAUGUGAGAUAAUAGUGAUGUGAUUGGCUGUCUUAGGUUUCUCUUAGAGGAAUCCUUCCAAAUAUAUAUAUUAUAUAUAUAAUAUAUAUAUACAUAAUGUGCAAUGUAGAGGGAAGGAAAAGAGAAUUAACAGAGUAAAAAAUUAUCAGGUAUUGUAUUACUGCUCUGUUUACUAUAAUAAUAUACCACAUGAGAAAUUUAUGUAUAUAUAUUCAUAAGAAUUAUAGUAGAGAUAUGUUAUGACUAUAUGUGUAUGUACAUGUUUGUACAUCCAUAUACUUUAAAAAUAAUAUAUUUCUUUAGCUGUGGAUUUGCAAUGGUAAGGGAGGAGAAAAGUUUCUCAUUUCUCAUGUUAUAUAACAUUUAAUCUUCUGACAUCUCUGCAGAUAACAUUAUUGCUGAUAGUCAUAGUCUUAAACAGAAAUAUGAGGGUUUAGAAACUCAUCUCUUUAAGUUGAAAAUUGUAUCUCUAACUUCAACCAAUUUGAACUUUCUUUGAGAUUUUACUGGUAGUGUAGGAUUCAAGUUCACAUUUUGAGAUAAUUUAAAAUACUUUAGAAAACACAACAUAAGAAGCAUUAUUUCUUAAAGUGGCAAAACACUCAUCCAUUAACAUUUUAGCUUUCAGAUAAUGCUGUGCUGUAUUUGAGAAAAAUGUGAAUAAUGGUUUACAGUAUCUGAACUGGAUAUAUAUGUGCGUGUGUGUGUGUGUGUGUGUGUGUGUGUGUGUGUGUAUGUGUGUGUGUGAAAAUGUUUCUCUUCAUUUAUGAUAUCAGAUCAAUACAUAUAAAUAAGUUUAAUUCUAUUUAAAAUAUUUUCCAUCUUUACCAAUAAUGAGAUUUUUUGGUUGACUGAAUAUAUCACUAAAUAUUUUAUUAAGGUUUUUAUUUGAUCUUAAAUAUUGUCCUUAUAUUUUUCUUUUUUUUAAAUUGGAUAUUUAUUUCAUUUACAUUUCCAAUGCUAUCCCAAAAGUCCCCUACACGCUCCCCCACCCACUCCCACUUCUUGGCCCUGGCAUUCCCCUGUACUGAGGCAUAUAAAGUAUGCACUUUGUCUUUAUAUUUUUCAAUACUCAUUAUUCAUCAACAUCUGAAGCUGAAGUUAAGACCUUAGGAUUUAUUUCUUGUACUUCAGUGAAACAUAAAGCCAGAAAACAGAGAUCAGUAUCUAAAAUAUGUUUGUUAUGAACCUCAGCUACAAAAUUAUGUUGUUGCAUUGAAAUGGAAUUAAGAAAUAGCAAUUCUGACAAACUAGAAUAAGCAAUGAGGGUAUUUCCAGUCACUAGAAGAUGCCCAGCCUUCAUUUUGCAAAUAGACUUUUUUUCUCACACAAUAUAUAUAUAUAUUAAUUAUGGUUUUCCUGCUCGCCACUCUGCUUAAUUCUUCUUCAUACACCUGUCCAUCUGUGUCUAUUCCCUUUUGUUCACUCAUCAGAAAACAAGCAGCUUCUAAGAGCUAAUAAUAAAAUAUAGCCAAAUAAAAUAUGAUAGAACAAAAACAAUCACAUAGAAGUUAGACAAGACAAACAGAAAAAAAAAUAAGAGAUGACACAUAGGCACAAGAAUCAGAGAUCCAUUUGUAACCACACUCAUAAAUUCCAUAAAAACAGUAAACUGGAAGCCAUGAUAUGCAGAGGGCCUGGUACAUACCAGUGCUGUCCCCAUGAAUGCUGCUUCAGUCCCUGCGAGUUCAUCUGAGCUUUGAUCAGGUUGAUUUAAAGGUCCUUGUUUUCUUGCUGUUCUCCAUUCUGUCUCUUCUAGUCCUUCUGUCUCUUUUUCCAUGGGAUUCCUUGAAUCCCGAGGGGAGGGAUUAGAUAGAGACAUCCAUUUCCAGCUAGUGUUCGAAGGACUCUUGCUCUCUGCAUAAUACCUGGCUUUAGGGUAGGUCUUUGUGUUUGUUCCCAUUUCCUGCAAGAGGACGCUCCUCUGAUGAGGCUGAACAAGCUAACGAUCUAUGAGUAUAACAGAGUACCAUCAUGUCAUAUUUCACUACUGUUUUCUUGUUUUUCACCAGUAGUAUUUGAUUUGGCCAUAGGUCCCUGGGUUAUUUACAGUCUCUGGUUCUUGGUCAUCUAAGCAGUGUUGGAUGCUUUCCAUCCUGUGGUAUAGGACUUGAGUCAAAUCUGAUAUUGGUCAGUUUCUCCUCAUAACCUUUGCAUUACUGUUUCUCUAGCAUGUCUUGCAUUCAAGAAACGAUUGAUAUCAAAGGGAAUAUGGCUGGGCUCAGUGGUAGAGCAUUUGCCUGCACAGUCAACAUUUUGACCCAGAACUGUUCCUGUCUAAAAGAACUUCAGGGCAAAGGAUGGCCUUGUUUGGCAUCAAUGAGAGGGGAAGCCCUAGGUUCUGUGAAGGCUUAAUGCCUCAACAUAGGGGAUUGAUAAGGUGGUGGGGCAGGAGCGAGUGGGUGAGUAAGGGAGCACCCUCCUGGAGGCAGGGGGAGGGGAGUGGAGUGGAGGGUUUGGGGUGAAAACUUGAAUGGGCGAAUAAUAUUUGAAAUGUAAAUAAACAUAAUAACC
rnacentral:lncRNA from 1 species